UGGCUUUAGCAGCACAUAUAUAAAAAUUGGAAUGAUACAGGGAAGAAUAGUGUAUUCCCUGCAGAAAGAUGCCACACAAAUUCAUGAAGAAUUCCAUCAGGGA